rnacentral:rRNA from 1 species
UACGUAGGGUGCAAGCGUUAAUCGGAAUUACUGGGCGUAAAGCGUGCGCAGGCGGUUUUGUAAGUCUGUCGUGAAAUCCCCGGGCUUAACCUGGGAACUGCAUUUGUGACUGCCCGGCUAGAGUGUGUCAGAGGAGGGUAGAAUUCCACGUGUAGCAGUGAAAUGCGUAGAUAUGUGGAGGAAUACCGAUGGCGAAGGCAGCCCCCUGGGAUAACACUGACGCUCAUGCACGAGAGCGUGGGGAGCAAACAGG